GACGUAGGGCGCGAGCGUUGUCCGGAUUUAUUGGGCGUAAAGAGCUCGUAGGCGGUUUGUCGCGUCUGCUGUGAAAACUCGGGGCUUAACCCCGGGCCUGCAGUGGGUACGGGCAGACUAGAGUGCGGUAGGGGAGACUGGAAUUCCUGGUGUAGCGGUGAAAUGCGCAGAUAUCAGGAGGAACACCAAUGGCGAAGGCAGCUCGCUGGAACGGUACUGACGCUGAGGCGCGAAAGCGUGGGGAGCGAACAGG
rnacentral:rRNA from 1 species